rnacentral:rRNA from 1 species
UACGGAGGGUGCAAGCGUUAUCCGGAUUCACUGGGGUUAAAGGGUGCGUAGGCGGGUAUGUAAGUCAGUGGUGAAAUCCCCGAGCUUAACUCGGGAACUGCCAUUGAUACUAUAUAUCUUGAAUAUUCUGGAGGUAUGCGGAAUAUGUCAUGUAGCGGUGAAAUGCUUAGAGAUGACAUAGAACACCUAUUGCGAAGGCAGCAUACUACGGAAAGAUUGACGCUGAGGCACGAAAGUGUGGGGAUCAAACAGG